GUCUAUGGCCAUGCCACCCUGAACAAGCCCAGUCCUGUCUGAUCUCGAAAGCUAAGCAAGGUCAGGCCUGGUUAGUACUUAGAUGAGAGACCACCUAGGAAGACCAGGUGCUAUAAGUG
rnacentral:rRNA from 1 species